UACGGAAGGCAGCAGUGGGGAAUAUUGCACAAUGGGCGAAAGCCUGAUGCAGCUAUGCCGCGUGUAUGAAGAAGGCCUUAGGGUUGUAAAGUACUUUCAUCGGGGAGGAAAAAACAAAACUAAUAAUUUUAUUUCUUGACGUUACCCGAAAAAGAAGCACCGGCUAACUCCGUGCCAGCAGCCGCGGUAAUACGGAGGGUGCUAGCGUUAAUCAGAAUUACUGGGCGUAAAGAGCACGUAGGUGGUUUUUUUUAAGUCAGAUGUGAAAUCCCUGGGCUUAACCUAGGAACUGCAUUUUGAAACUGAAAUACUAGAGUAUCGUAGAGGGAGGUAGAAUUCUAGGUGUAGCGGUGAAAUGCGUAGAUAUCUGGAGGAAUACCUGUGGCGAAAGCGGCCUCCUAAACGAAUACUGACACUGAGGUGCGAAAGCGUGGGGAGCAAACAGGGAUUAGAUACC
rnacentral:rRNA from 1 species